rnacentral:tRNA from 1 species
CGGGAGAUGGCUGAGUGGUCGAUAGCGGCGGUCUUGAAAACCGUUGAGGGUCAUACCUCCGGGGGUUCGAAUCCCUCUCUCCCGG